AACGGCCGUACCAUGCUGAAUAUACCGGUUCCCGUUAGAUCACCGAAGUCAAGCAUCAUUGGGCGCGGUCAGUACUUGGGUGGGUGACCACCUGGGAACACUGCGUGCCGUU